AUGCAACAACAACUACACUACCUCACUCACAACGGUAACACGCACAAAGAAAACACGCAGAAACAGGUAGAAGAAGUGGAAGGAGCAAAGAAGGAGGCAAGAAGAAACAAGAAGAGCUUACUUGAGUUCACACCUUCCCCGGAAAACGCAUCUCCAUCGCCGCCGCUGAGCCGCAAGAAAGAAGGAAGUGGCGUUGCUCGUGUUUCGCAAAGAAGAGGAUUGGAAGAGAUGAGAGGCGGUGGCGUCGUGGUGCUAGACGGAAGAGGAAGCAAGAGGAAAGGAGAAGCCGCGUCAUGGUGCUAG